CAGCAGCCGCGGUAAUACGUAAGGUGCAAGCGUUGUUCGGAAUUAUUGGGCGUAAAGGGCUCGCAGGCGGUUUCUUAAGUCUGAUGUGAAAGCCCCCGGCUCAACCGGGGAGGGUCAUUGGAAACUGGGAAACUUGAGUGCAGAAGAGGAGAGUGGAAUUCCACGUGUAGCGGUGAAAUGCGUAGAGAUGUGGAGGAACACCAGUGGCGAAGGCGACUCUCUGGUCUGUAACUGACGCUGAGGAGCGAAAGCGUGGGGAGCGAACAGGAUUAGAUACCCCUGUAGUCCCUGUCUCUUAUAC
rnacentral:rRNA from 1 species